UGAUGGGGCUCAUCUCCCUCUCCUGCUCAAUGCAGACUACUCUGAAUCUGUCAGAAGCACUAUGAGAUGCAUUGAACAAGUAGUGUUACUGUACGUGGUGCUCUCAGCUUCAUGGCAUUUAUAUUCCUUAUGCAUUUGUGUGAGUCAUUAUGAUUCUGGUUGGAGGAAUUCAAACAAGCAUUAAGUUUGAAAUGGUUACAUCGUAGAUGAAAGCACUGGAAAAGCUUAUCAACGGAACCGAGAUUGAUCUAUCGGAAUUGGAGACUAGAGCAGACCAACCAAAGAUUCUGAAGCAAUACAAAAUAACUUCACAGGAACUAUCAAUAUCUACAUUGCCAGAGGCAAUCGUUUGCAGGAUUGCUGCUCGAGAUGCCCUCUGAGGUCUUAAACGAUGGUCGGGGCAUUUUCUAGCUGUGUAUGUUGAACUCUUGGGAAGAACACUGCAUCUGUUGUGCACUUGCGCCUCCAGUUGAUGGUCAAGCUCGCGGCAGGAUGUUUCAAGCCUGAAUUUAGGAAUUGCAUUACGAUAGGCAUGUAGUGUUGGAUGCUGUAGCAACAAUUGAAUAUUUGUAUGGUCACAGACUCUUAAGAUUUUAGGCAGGUCACCUGCACAGAGAUAUUGCGAUGUUGAUUCAGAA